GCGCCGGUGGUGCAAUGGGCAUUCCUGCUCGGCUAGCAGGUGCCGUGGGUUCGAGUCCCUUCUGGCGCU
rnacentral:tRNA from 1 species